UUGUACUGCCUUCCAAAGUGCAGCGGAGAUGAACAUGGCUUUGCAUAGCUGUUGCUCUACGCCAACUUACCUACUCUUGCUGGUUCCGUAGUGGUAUAUUGCAAAUUUCGUGGACGAACAAUUCGAGUCACUAGUGGCUAGUGAGCACCACUAACAGACCAGAAUGCUUCGCCAUCAACUCCUGGCUUUCCAUCGGCAUGGUGUUCAGCUGCAGCGGCAUCUGGUCCGGGGAGUACGUUGCUGCACGUUUAUGUAAUUUAUAUUGUCGCUCGUCCAGCAACGUCAAGGCUCUGCAUGUAAACACAGGAGAACACCAUAAUAAUUAUACUACUCAGGGGAUAAUAAUUAUAAUUUUGGAUUAUCAAUUUCUUGACAUUUAUGAGUUCCUGUCUAAACCAUGUCGUGAUAUUGAUUGCUAUCUGCUCACAAAGUACCUCGUAUUGUAACAAUACUCUGCUUAAUCACUACCCUCUGCCAAUUAUUAGAUUCGCACAAUAUUCACAACAUAUGCAACACAAUGCUGUCUAUUGACACUACUUCGAACUGAAAUGCUUACUACUCGUCUCCCGUUUUCAACUCCCUCUACCUUAUGAAUACUCUACUUUACUGGUUUCGUUUCUACCCUUUCCAUUGCUGCCAGCCCCCAGUCUUUUUCAGUGGACAGCACCAUAUUGAAAUUUUUGUGAUUUGAUGUACACAUACUUUGAAAUUGAAAUUCGAAUUACAUGAUCAGAUUUUUGUU